rnacentral:piRNA from 1 species
UCCCUGGGCUACAUGACAGAGGGUGCACUGC